rnacentral:rRNA from 1 species
AUGAUCCACCGCCCGGAUCCACCCCGUGCCAUCUUAUUUUCCUUCCGGAGCUCCUUCCCUUCGUCUCAUCCCUCUCCUGUGUUCUCUGUAACAUCUCCAUGGCCGCCCGAUGCUCAAGCAGCUACGGGGAACCGCUCCUUCGGCUUGCGUUCCUCGCCACCAACCGGAGCUCCGAUGGGAUCUCGCUGGACCUCGACCAGGACCUCGCCGUCGACAUCGCUGCCAUGGAACCGCAGCUCCGCCGUCUGCCCGCUCCUCGCCGGAGUGCCUUGCAGCGCCUCGCCUCCCAGCCAUGCUUCCCGUCCUGGAUGCCCGAACAAGCUCGCCGGUGUCCUCGCACCGUCUGCCACCAGCAGAACUAGGGCCCAUGCCUCGCGCCCUCCUCUUCAUCGUCCUUCGUCGCCUGGAGUCGUCGGUUGCUCGCGCCAAGUCCCGCCGCAGCGCCCUUGUUCCUCUGUCGUGGCCCGCGCCAUCCCCGGCGAGCAAGCCACCAGCAGCGCCACAGCCGUCCUCAUCCAUGUGCUCGAGUCCACGAGCGAGGACCUCGCUGCGUCCCUGCCCAAGGACCACCCGGUCCGCCUCCGCUAG